GGCAGAGGGUGCAAACGUUGUUCGGAAUUACUGGGCGUAAAGCGCGUGUAGGCGGCAAGGCAAGUCGGGUGUGAAAGCCCUGGGCUCAACCCAGGAAGUGCAUUCGAUACUGGCAAGCUAGAGUCCCGGAGAGGAUGGUGGAACUCUCGGUGUAGAGGUGAAAUUCGUAGAUAUCGAGAAGAACACCGGUGGCGAAGGCGGCCAUCUGGACGGUGACUGACGCUGAGACGCGAAAGCGUGGGGAGCAAACAGG
rnacentral:rRNA from 1 species